CGAAUGAAUGACAUGAAAAAGUAAAAAUAGGGGGCAUUUAAAAAAAAGCAACCCAUCUCUCUCUCUCAUUCUCUAUUUCGAUCAGCAGGACUUUUUUUUUUUUUUCUUCUGCAUGUUUUUUGUUGUUAUGUUUUUCUUCAUGCACCUCGCUGAGAGAAUUUCACAAAGACU
rnacentral:ribozyme from 1 species